rnacentral:rRNA from 1 species
ACGGGGGGACUCCUACGGGAGGCAGCAGUGGGGAAUAUUGGACAAUGGGCGAAAGCCUGAUCCAGCCAUGCCGCGUGUGUGAAGAAGGCCUUUUGGUUGUAAAGCACUUUAAGCGAGGAGGAGGCUACUUAGAUUAAUACUCUAGGAUAGUGGACGUUACUCGCAGAAUAAGCACCGGCUAACUCUGUGCCAGCAGCCGCGGUAAU